UACGUAGGGUGCAAGCGUUGUCCGGAAUUAUUGGGCGUAAAGAGCUCGUAGGCGGUCUGUCGCGUCGGCUGUGAAAACCCGGGGCUCAACCCCGGGCCUGCAGUCGAUACGGGCAGACUAGAGUGCGGUAGGGGAGACUGGAAUUCCUGGUGUAGCGGUGAAAUGCGCAGAUAUCAGGAGGAACACCGGUGGCGAAGGCGGGUCUCUGGGCCGAUACUGACGCUGAGGCGCGAAAGCGUGGGGAGCAAACAGG
rnacentral:rRNA from 1 species